UUCGUCUCUCAAACUCACUCGAACCUUCCUGGAACCCUAAUCGUCUCCCACCUUAUUUUACCGUGUUUCCACCGGAAUCCAUGGCGUCUAAGGCCAUAGAUGAUCUGUACUAACCCUUUCUCACCAUUAGACCUAAGCUUUUAAAGGCAGUGAAUUCUAACUUCGAUGGUUCUCUCAAAGAUCUUCUCAGAUCUAUAGAUCUAUGUCUUCUCCAACCAUUACUCCGGCAUAUUCAAGAAAUAUGAGUCUUUUUGACUCAGGAUCUGACUUUCUUCAAGACCUUUCUCAUUUCAAGGGUUUUCUUUACAAUCCUAAGC
rnacentral:lncRNA from 1 species